rnacentral:rRNA from 1 species
CGCGUAGGCGGCCUGGGCAGUCCUGGGUGAAAGCCCCCGGCUCAACCGGGGAAGGGCCUGGGAAACCACUGGGCUGGAGUGCUGGAGAGGGAGGCGGAAUUCCUGGUGUAGCGGUGAGAUGCGUAGAGAUCAGGAGGAACAUCGGCGGCGAAGGCGGCCUUCUGGACAGACACUGACGCUGAGGCGCGAAAGCCGGGGGAGCAAACA